GACGGGUGAGUAAUGUAUAGGAAUCUACCUAGUAGUACGGAAUAAUUGUUGGAAACGACAACUAAUACCGUAUACGCCCUACGGGGGAAAAUUUAUUGCUAUUAGAUGAGCCUAUAUUAGAUUAGCUAGUUGGUGGAGUAAUAGCCUACCAAGGCAAUGAUCUAUAGCUGAUCUGAGAGGAUGAUCAGCCACACUGGAACUGAGAUACGGUCCAGACUCCUACGGGAGGCAGCAGUGGGGAAUAUUGGACAAUGGGCGAAAGCCUGAUCCAGCCAUGCCGCAUGAGUGAAGAAGGCCUUUGGGUUGUAAAGCUCUUUUAGUGAGGAAGAUAAUGACGGUACUCACAGAAGAAGUCCUGGCUAACUCCGUGCCAGCAGCCGCGGUAAUACGGAGAGGGCUAGCGUUAUUCGGAAUUAUUGGGCGUAAAGGGCGCGUAGGCUGGUUAAUAAGUUAAAAGUGAAAUCCCGAGGCUUAACCUUGGAAUUGCUUUUAAAACUAUUAAUCUAGAGAUUGAAAGAGGAUAGAGGAAUUCCUGAUGUAGAGGUAAAAUUCGUAAAUAUUAGGAGGAACACCAGUGGCGAAGGCGUCUAUCUGGUUCAAAUCUGACGCUGAAGCGCGAAGGCGUGGGGAGCAAACAGGAUUAGAUACCCUGGUAGUCCACGCUGUAAACGAUGAAUGUUAAAUAUGGGAAGUUUACUUUCUGUAUUACAGCUAACGCGUUAAACAUUCCGCCUGGGGACUACGGUCGCAAGAUUAAAACUCAAAGGAAUUGACGGGGACCCGCACAAGCGGUGGAGCAUGUGGUUUAAUUCGAUGCAACGCGAAAAACCUUACCACUUCUUG
rnacentral:rRNA from 1 species